rnacentral:antisense_RNA from 1 species
ACUGUUUUACCGGUUGAAUCUGUGUAAUGAAUGGGGGCAAUCACAGGUCAAAUCCUGUCAUUGCCCUAAAUUUUUUGGGAA